UCGUCCAAACCCUAGCCGUGCCCUCCUCCGUGCGCCGCCGCCCCCAUCAAUUCUGCCCAACACCGUCGUCCCCUUCCACUCGCUCUCCUCCAUGAGCCGGAUCCACACCUCCUCCGGCUCCCCUUCCACUCACUCUCCCGUUAAGGCCGAGAUGGACGUUCGAUGGCCUCAACUCCUGGAUCCCCACCUCCUCCAGCUCCCCUUCCACUCACUCUCUCUCGCCACAGAUAGUCAACAAAUCAGAUGGCGGCAACCGGGCUCGCGCUCUCGCUACGCCCCGCACAGCCGUCGACGCGCGUGCCGAGAAGGAUUCUCACGCCGCCUCUGCUUCCGCAGGGGCGCCUCGCCGUCGGCUGCCGCGCGAGCGUGCUUGCCUCAUCGCCGAUGUUGCCUCGCGCGUGCCCCGUCUUUGCAUGCCGCGCCGCCACUUCCUUCCAGAAGCUCGACGCCGUCGGUGAGUCCCCCCUCUUUGUGGUCUCCCUGCUCUGGAACCUUGUGGUCCUGAUUAGUUGUGGCUUUGCGCGAUUGACUGAAUGGCUGAAUGUGGGUCGUCUGUCGCGCGCGCGGGCAUCGGUGCGGGAGGAGGAGGAUUCCUUCAGGUCGGCAGCUGCGGUGGGGCACAUGCUGCUUCCCCUCCAGCGUUGCAUCUUCUCCGACCACCUCCCGCCGGUGCUGGCCUACUGCUGCCUCGUCCGGGAGGACGACCGCGAGGCGCCCAGCUUCCUCUUCGAGUCUUUCGAGUAGGCCUCCGAGGGCACCAAUGUGGGGAUUAAUCCAGAUCCUCGGGGUCGUCGGCGGUGGCAGCCCUCCCUGACGUCGCCAGCUGCAUCGGCUCAUCGGAGGACGCGAUGAGCGGACGCAGAGAUGCACAACAUGCCCGACUACUUGGGAUCUGGAUAGGUUGCAACUGGGAGUAAAAUAUGCGUCUGAACUGAUUCUCUGGUGCGAAAAUCGACGACCAAGAUCCACUUCAGCUUGGUAGUGACCUGUGAGAGAUUUGUGGUGGUAAGCGGCACAUGUCUGAUCCCUGGGCAUCGGUUCAUUUAUGAUGUUUGAUCCUGGUCGUCGGUUACUUGCCAAGAUGGGAGAUUAUUUUCGCUU